CCUCAGUGGAGUGUGGAUGUGCGCGGCGCCAGUGCUCGGAAACUCAUACCCCGCUCUCUCACGUCUUAUAACCAAAUUUCGAUUAUAUACCCUGGGCAUUAUAACCACGUGCCCCCUAUAAUUACAAUGGUGGAAUUGAAGAGCAAAGUCCACGUGGCUGCCGUAUGUGUAUGCUCCACCAAUCACCACCAUCACCACCACACCACCACCCCAGCCGCAGUCCUCCACCACCAUCACCACCAUCACCAGCCGCAGAUCAAGAUGCCAUCGGGGCCGCAUGCGUCGCGUAUCGUGCGGAAAUAUCGUCGCUCGCGGCUCAAAAGGAUUAAGAAACAGGAGUAUAAGAAAUUAAGAGAUAUGGUGCCAGCCUUACAAGAGAAACCUGUUGUAUCUAAGGUGGAGGUGAUCGAGAAGCCAUUAAGUAUAUAGAUGAACUUCACACAGCCCUUAUUGAACGCUUUAGAACAGAGGCUUACCUGCAACACUAGAGGUGAGUUAAUUAGCCUU